GAGCAAAUGUUUGUAAACCACAUGUUGUUUCCCUUGUUUACUAUGUGUAACACUAAAGCAUAUUUAAUGUUAGUACUAAUAUUGUAUUUCCGGCUUCAUCUACAAGUACAUUCCUGAAGUAUCCUUGCCAUCAGUUUGGGAUUUAGUUAUUUAAUCUUCUGUUUGGUUUAGAAGAAUAUUGAGAUAUUUGAGGUGUUGUGCAAGCCAUUAUUUCUAGAAUAGAUUGUUCAUUUUUCAUCCUGGAUGAAAGUUUGAUGAAAGUAGUUUCCUGGGGACUUGUUUUUUCCCCUUUUAUUUAAAAGAUGACCCAAUCAGGGAAGGGAGCAUAGAAAAGGUCAUUGAUUUGGUUAAGUGUAAUUUCUGAGAUUGAAAUAAAAAACCCACAAGUAGUUCAGACUAUAAAAUGGUGACACUCAAACUUGGUAAAAUCCUUUGAAGUGAAAUUAGUAUGAAAUUUUUUCUGAAAUGCUUUCAGGUCACCCUGGAAAUAGUCUUUGUAUGCGAAGGAUGAACACAAACAUUGGUCAGAAACCUUGACAG
rnacentral:lncRNA from 1 species